AACUAUGAAGAUAGAUUGGAGAAGUUAUAACUGUUUUCGAGUAGAGGAGAAGAUCAAGAGGUUAUUUUAAUUUUUUAAAAUUGCAAAUUCAAGAAAGGUGGACAUAGAGAGAAACUGUUUCCACUCAAGCAGAUCAAGGAUGAAGGUCACAGACUUAAAAUAAUCUGCAAAAGAAAUAAAAUGUAAUGUAAGAAGAAACCUUUUUACACAGUGAGUGAUUUCUUUUGUCAGGAGUGCACUGCCUCGAAUUAUGGUGGAGACAGGUUCAAUCAAGGCAUUCAAAAGUGUACUUGUAACAUUGAAGAAUGCCAUGAUUUUCCAUUCAAUGCACAAUGCUAUAGAAAGUGGAUCAUUCUGGAAUGGAAAGGAGGAAAUCAGAGCACACGGAGGAAACCCACGCAGACACG